UACGGGGGGGGGCAAGCGUUGUUCGGAAUUACUGGGCGUAAAGGGCUCGUAGGUGGCCAACUAAGUCAUACGUGAAAUCCCUCAGCUUAACUGGGGAACUGCGUCUGAUACUGGAUGGCUUGAGUUUGGGAGAGGGAAGCGGAAUUCCCGGUGUAGUGGUGAAAUGCGCAGAUAUCAGGAGGAACACCGGUGGCGAAGGCGGUUCUCUGGGCAUUACCUGACGCUGAGGAGCGAAAGUGUGGGGAGCAAACAGG
rnacentral:rRNA from 1 species